rnacentral:rRNA from 1 species
UUUUGACCUCGGAUCAGGUAGGGAUACCCGCUGAACUUAAGCAUAUCAAUAAGCGGAGGAGAA